rnacentral:rRNA from 1 species
UGCAAGUCGAGCGACAGCAUUCUUUUGGGGGUGUAUGGAGCGGCGAACGGGUGAGUAACACGUGAGUAAUCUGCCUUUGGCUUGGGAAUAACUUCGGGAAAUCGGGGCUAAUGCCUGGUAUUUACUGCUGUCCGCAUGGGUGGUGGUGGAAAGAUUUUUUGGCUAAGGAUGAGCUCGCGGUCUAUCAGCUUGUUGGUGGGGUAAUGGCUUACCAAGGCUUUGACGGGUAGCCGGCCUGAGAGGGUGUUCGGCCACACUGGGACUGAGACACGGCCCAGACUCCUACGGGAGGCAGCAGUGGGGAAUAUUGCGCAAUGGGCGAAAGCCUGACGCAGCGACGCCGCGUGGGGGAUGACGGCCUUCGGGUUGUAAACCUCUUUCGGCAGUGACGAAGCCUUUGGGUGACGGUAGCUGUAGAAGAAGCACCGGCCAACUACGUGCCAGCAGCCGCGGUAAUACGUAGGGUGCGAGCGUUGUCCGGAUUUAUUGGGCGUAAAGAGCUCGUAGGUGGUGUGUCGCGUUGGAAGUGAAAACCAUGGGCUUAACUUGUGGCUUGCUUCUGAUACGGGCAUGCUUGAGUGUGGUAGGGGAGUCUGGAAUUCCUGGUGUAGCGGUGAAAUGCGCAGAUAUCAGUGAGGAACACCGGUGGCGAAGGCGGGACUCUGGGCCAUUACUGACGCUGAGGAGCGAAAGCGUGGGGAGCGAACAGGAUUAGAUACCCUGGUAGUCCACGCUGUAAACGUUGGGCGCUAGGUGUGGGGACUGGUUCACGGUUCCUGUGCCGUAGCUAACGCAUUAAGCGCCCCGCCUGGGGAGUACGGCCGCAAGGCUAUAACUCAAAUGAAUUGACGGGG